UUAAUUUGCUUGCCUUACAUCCAGAACAUCGGUAGUUUGAUCCCUGGUGGUUACAAAUAGUCGUUCUCUGUGGAUAUUACAUGUUUUUUUGUGUUUUUUUUUUUCAAACUAUCAUUCCACAGACACCUAGGAUUAUGGGGAUUGACUCUAAAUUCACACUGGAUUCACACUAAACUGACCGUAGGUGUGAAUGGGAGCGUGAAUUGUUGUAUCUAUAUUUGGUCGUGUUAGAUGGGCUGCAGCUUCCCUCGCCCUCCAACCAUUCUUUAGAACAGUGGUUUCCAAAGUGGGGGGUGAAGCCCUGGUGGGGUCGUAGAGCUGCUGCAGGGAGGGCACAGCAUGUCAGACUUAAAUUUGACCACAGUGGUCCUAUCUGCUGAAGGGAUAAGAAUAAGAAUGAGACUAAUGUUGAGUUUAUUGUAGACCGAGAUUUUUUUUACCAAUUUAAAAAAACAAAACCUUUGUUUCCACAGAGAUCCUUCGUGUCUCUCCUCCACCUCUGGAAUGUCCGACUGCUCCGCUCACCUGUUACUCACUUUCUCCACCUGUUGUUGGGUGACUGAAGGAGCAGCCUGCUGGGACUUGAAACAACAAGGAGCAGCGAGGAUCAACCAACCAAGCAAGGCCGUAAAUUCUCUGCCAAAAGGAGGACAGUGAGGAGAUAAAGACCAAGAACUCCGAGGGGGGAGAAAUAAUGAAGAGGAAGAGAAACCACUUCUCCUCCGUUCCUCGACGCAGACGCAGACGUAGAACGGCUUCGUUAAGUGACUGCAGUGAUCAGUAAUGUAGGGGCCACACGGUGGAAAAAGCGUGAGAGAUCAACAGAUGAAGAACAGCUUUUUCUCCAAUUCCUCCAUCUACAUCAGCGUGGUGUUCAACUAAACAGGCUCAGCUAUAACACUGGAGUUUGACAGGUGACUCACCCCAAGAUGUAGCCCCGCCCUCAUGUGAUGACUGAUGGGAUUGGUUUGACGUUCCCCCUGUGACCAUAAAAAAAAAAGCGGCGUGUCAUUCUGUGCCUGUAUUGUCUCUUCUACAUCGACAUGAACAGUGAGCCACAAAAUGAAGAUUUACGCCAAAAACCAUUCACGCCAACGAUGAGUUUGUUCACCCGUAGAAAACGAGCUGUCACUUUGUGUGGACAUUGUCCCUUCAGUGUGUGUGGCUCAACGCGGCGUCUGAUGUCCACUCCUGGGCCACUUGUCUCUGAUGUGAAUGGGAAGACAAUGAGAUGGACCCCCAGGGGCUCUCCCUCUCUCCCUCUCUCUCUCUCUCUCUCUCUCCCUGACCCACCCGGGGUCUGAUCUGCCUUGGCAAAGGUGUAGGGGGGUCGGGGGGGUGGAGGCCCAACACAAAGCUGAAGGAGUCUCCGGUGCAGAGGAGCAGAGGUCAGCACCAACGCCCGACUAACAGGCCUGUCCUCUGGUUUGGACUCCUAAAUGGGGAAGAGACACAGAGGCGUAGAGACAAUGGGAUAAAAGGGAGCUCCAAAACCAUUAAACUCUGAGGAAGUGAUGGCCGUGAAUGAUGACAGACACUGAAUGGAGACCCUUGAGGCCUCUCUUCUCCAAACAAGGGGACAAACCCAGAUUGAUGCAGGAGCUGUGGUCGGAGCCGCGCGGGUCCCCGCUGUGCACCUCAACGCCGGGAGACAACGUGACACCACGGCCGGGGCCCCCUUUGGAGGGUUGACACCAGCCCCACCUGCUGAGCUGAAGCCAUAGGCGACAGUGUCGGGGUCAGAGGGCGUGAAGAGGUCACCGCGUCUUUUAUUGGGCCUUGAUGUCUCAAAAAAAAAGGUCUGUGGGGACGUGACGGACGUCCUUUCACUCGGACUCUCAUCACAUGACACGACCGUUUUCUUUUUCGUCCUCAACUUCAAAGAGGGGGGAUUUUCACGGACAGUUCAAGGUAACGUGUUUUUCCCUGCGUUCUCAUCCGGAGCCUGAGCCUGAGUCAUUUGACAAAGGCAAGAAUUACCUGCACCCUGGAAUACUCAGAUACUGGAAUACUUAAAUAUUGUUUGUUGUUUUGACGCCCCCCCCCUCUUUGACCCCCUCCUCCACUCUUUUGUUUUCUUCUAUGUUGUAAACAGAUUAACACAGUUUCCGUUUUUUAAAAACUUGCAGUAGAAGAAAAAAUGGACUUGACAAUCAUUUGGUAUUUAAACAUUUUUUUAAAGACGUAAAAGCGUAUGGCUGUGUCGUCAGUGUCGGAUUCAUUAAAGUUUAUAAAUGUAAAACACAGUUCAUUUGUUUUGGUCUCUAUUUUUAGCUACAAAGAAAAAAAAAUCUCAAAUUAAAUCUGGAUUUAAUUUAGAUACAAUUCAACUUUUCAACCUCAAAUAAAUAAAAACCUGUUCAAAUCUGAUGCCGAUCACGUCCGUUCAGUUUGUCGGAGAUAAACAUGUGCGACUAAAAGAACUAAUUAAGACCAUAUUAAGUUACCACUUUAAAUGAGUUGACAAGCUGAAUGACAGCCGUGAGUGCAGUCGAGUUGACGUGAAGACGUUAACGAGGCCGUGACGAGACAAAGGUCAGGUCUCACUAACGAAGACCAAACGCUGACUUGAGUCGUUUGUUGUUUGUUUUACUCUUUGUUGAAAACUUGUUUGAUUAAAUACACUUCUAUAGACGUCUGCUAACAUCGGCCGUCCGAUAUUAUCAGCCGAUGUUAGCAUAAUGUAACAUCGGUAAGAAUCGUUAAAAAAAAAAACAAAUCUCAGAGGAAUACUUGGCACCUCCUAAUGGCAGCCUGUUGCAGCCUGUUUUUUGUAUUUCCUUUUUUAAUGAAUACUCCAGCUGUGUCUCCCCCUGUUUAGAGAUAUGUGACAUGGAUUUUUAGGUUUGCGGUGACCGAGCUGCCCCGACCUUCGCUGCAGAAAUAGGCUGAGAUCUGCGGUGACGACAGCAGUGGAAUCCAGGUGAACCAAUCCUGGUUGUUACGUCAGAGGUGUUUACAGUGUGUCUGUAUUUAAGUCGGUUGUUGACACCGCACCGUGUCACGACCCCAAAGCAUACUGGAAAGUCGACACCUGUGAAAGUGAAAAUGAUGACACGGCCUGGAGGACAACAGGCAGGAGCAGCAGAGUGAACUCACGACGGAGGAAUUUAUCCACAUCACAUGCUCCAUUUGGUUCUUUGAGUUAUGUAGUAUCCUCAGAAAACGUCGAGAUACUUAAAUACUACAUCUGGACAACAGCAGCAGCAGCAGCAGCAGCAGCUAACGCCUGCUGUUUCUGGAGAUGAGCAGCGAGAGGCUCACCUUCAACACUGGAGACGGUUCCACCAGUAUGAACGUGAUUUACAUGUUGUCAGCUCCACCGAAAGGCCUGGUGACGUAAGAGGAUGGAAAUAAAGGUAAACUUCCUGUCUGGUUAUACACUGCAGUAAAAUAUCAACAAAAAUGUAAUUCAGCUGCAACUUAAUUAUGAAGUUAAGAAGUUAAGAAAUUUCGAUGAAACCUUUUGAUAAAGAAAACUUAAAAUGAAAUGGACAGAGCUAAGUAUUUUAAGGCAAAUGGGUGUAUUUUUAGUCAUUUUUGAGAAACUUUUUUUU